UACGUAGGGCGCAAGCGUUGUCCGGAAUUAUUGGGCGUAAAGAGCUCGUAGGCGGUCUGUCGCGUCGGCUGUGAAAACCCGAGGCUCAACCUCGGGCCUGCAGUCGAUACGGGCAGACUAGAGUACUGCAGGGGGAGACUGGAAUUCCUGGGUGUAGCGGUGGAAUGCGCAGAUAUCAGGAGGAACACCGGUGGCGAAGGCGGGUCUCUGGGCAGUAACUGACGCUGGAGGAGCGAAAGCGUGGGGGAGCGAAACAGGA
rnacentral:rRNA from 1 species